rnacentral:rRNA from 1 species
AAUCAACGCUGGCGGCGUGCCUCAGACAUGCAAGUCGAACGAUUAAACUUUCCUUCGGGAAAGAUAUAAAGUGGCGCACGGGUGAGUAACACGUAAGUAAUCUACCUUCGAGUGGGGAAUAACGUUCGGAAACGAACGCUAAUACCGCAUAAUGCAGCGGCAUCGCAAGAUGACAGUUGUUAAAGAUUUAUUCGCUUGAAGAGGAGCUUGCGGCAGAUUAGCUAGUUGGUAAGGAACGGCUUACCAAGGCUACGAUCUGUAACCGGUCUAAGAGGACGGUCGGUCACACUGACACUGAAUAACGGGUCAGACUCCUACGGGAGGCAGCAGUCGGGAAUUUUGGGCAAUGGGCGAAAGCCUGACCCAGCAACGCCGCGUGAAGGAUGAAGUAUUUCGGUAUGUAAACUUCGAAAGAAUGGGAAGAAUAAAUGACGGUACCAUUUAUAAGCUCCGGCUAACUACGUGCCAGCCGCCGCAGU